AGAUUGAACGCUAGCGGGAUGCUUUACACAUGCAAGUCGAACGGCAGCGCGGACUUCGGUCUGGCGGCGAGCGGCGAACGGGUGAGUAAUAUAUCGGAACGUGCCCAGUAGCGGGGGAUAACUACGCGAAAGCGUGGCUAAUACCGCAUACGCCCUACGGGGGAAAGGGGGGGAUUCUUCGGAACCUCUCACUAUUGGAGCGGCCGAUAUCAGAUUAGCUAGUUGGUGAGGUAAAGGCUCACCAAGGCGACGAUCUGUAGCUGGUUUGAGAGGACGACCAGCCACACUGGGACUGAGACACGGCCCAGACUCCUACGGGAGCAGCAGUGGGGAAUUUUGGACAAGUCGGGGGAAACCCUGGAACUACCGAGCCACGUCCCGGCGUCGUGCGUAGUGAACGGGUCCUUCGGGUUAGGUAAA
rnacentral:rRNA from 1 species